rnacentral:rRNA from 1 species
UACGGGGGGGGCAAGCGUUGUUCGGAAUUACUGGGCGUAAAGGGCUUGUAGGCGGCCAACUAAGUCAUACGUGAAAUCCCUCGGCUUAACCGGGGAACUGCGUCUGAUACUGGAUGGCUUGAGUUCGGGAGAGGGAUGCGGAAUUCCAGGUGUAGCGGUGAAAUGCGUAGAUAUCUGGAGGAACACCGGUGGCGAAGGCGGCAUCCUGGACCAACACUGACACUGAGGAGCGAAAGCCAGGGGAGCAAACGGG